rnacentral:rRNA from 1 species
AUUGAACGCUGGCGGCAGGCUUAACACAUGCAAGUCGAACGAGCGGCGGACGGGUGAGUAAUGUUUUGGAAUCUGUCUUAUGGAGGGGGAUAACUACGGGAAACUGUAGCUAAUACCGCGUACCAUAGGAUGAGCCCAAGGGGGAUUAGGUAGUUGGUGGGGUAAAGGCUCACCAAGCCGACGAUCUCUAGCUGGUCUGAGAGGAUGACCAGCCACACUGGAACUGAGACACGGCCCAGACUCCUACGGGAGGCAGCAGUGGGGAAGAUUGCGCAAUGGGCGCAACCCUGAUGCAGCCAUGCCGCGUGUAUGAAGAAGGGCUUCGGGUGGUACAGUUCUUUCGGCAGCGAGGCGUUACCUCCAGAAGAAGCACCGGCUAACUCCGUGCCAGCAGCCGCGGUAAUAC